CUGCCCUCCAUGUAAGAUGCAACUUGCUCCUCUUUGCCUUCCAACCACAAUUGUGAGGCCUCCCCAGCCACAUGGAACUGGUCUGUCACCCAGGCUGAAGUACAGUGGCUACCUCCUGGCUCAAGUGAUCCUGCUGGGCUCAAGCGAUCCUCUUGCCUCAGCCUCUCAAGUAGCUGGCAUUCAGCCACCAUGUUCAGCUAAUUUAAAAUAUUUUUUGUGUGUGUGGAGAUGAGGUCUCACCACCAUGUUGCCCAGGCUGGUCUGGAACUGCUGGGCUCCAGCUAUCCUCCUGCCUGAACCUCCCAAAGUGCUGGGAUUAUAGGCAUGAGCCACCAUGCCUGGCCUUGACCCAUGGAUUUCUAUGUACUCUCUUACCCACUCCCUCAUCACCUACAAUCAAGUCACCUCUUGCCAGUCUUUGGAAGCCGAGAAGACUUUUAGAGUUGACUCUGUUUUCCUCUCAUUUUACUGGCCAAGAAGUGAAGGCCCAGAGACUGCCUAAGAUAACCCCAAGGGCUGGAAGUGGAUUCAUGAACCCCCACCCAAGUCUAUUAACCCCAGGGCUUUUGACACUAGCAGAGGGAAAGGCUUCUACCCAGAUUAAUGACAGGGGCUAUUCAAAGAUUCUUGACCAGUGUCCAAAAGAAAAAAAUAUUUAAAUUAGCAUCCACUAUGGGCUGGAUUCUAUGCUGAGCACUAGAGUCACAGGUGGUGCACCCACUGUGAGACACAAAUACACAAACAGACAAACACAAUACAGUGUUAAAGGAGCUGUAAUAGCCAAAACGUCUGAGUGUCUAUUAUGUUCUGGGCACUGUUCUAUAGCCUUCACAAACAGUUAUUCUAAGGGCAGAGGUAAGCUCAUGGCCCUAUGGAAGCUCUGAGUUCCACUGACACAGUGGGAAAUUGGGCUUCGACUCCCAGACAUCCGGCCUAGGCUAGCGAAGUCUCUGCCUCACCUCCCCAGCAGGCCCUGGGACCCCAGUGACAUGGCCUGAGCCCUGGAUCCUAAGACCUCCUCUCACUUUUGUGUCACUGGGACUUCUGUGCCCCAGCCUGAAGUCCUCUUGCCUGUCUGCAGGCUACAGUCUGUUAGAGAAAAAGUCCAGGCCAGAUGAGGAAAUGGGGCUCUGUCUUUGGGAUGGGAGGAGAGGGACUGCGGAGGUGAUGGCCCACAGGUGGGGAGGAAUGACUUGAGUUCUGUGCUCGGAAGUCAGGGCAGCUCUGCAAGAUUUUUUCCUGGCCAGUUUUGGAUUUCCAAAACCAGAGAGAGAUUCAUUGUGUUUGCCUUGAGAAAGGAAAUCCCCCAAACAGGACGAUGGGGGAGGAAUUUCUGAGGGCAGAGAGUUUCUAGAACUGAGAAGGGAGGGUUUAGGGAGGCCAGGACAGAAUCAUUGCACAACCCUGCUCUCCCUGGGAAAAACCCUCAGUCCUUCCUGCCUUGAGCCAGAGGCCACGGGCUCCAUCUGCUGAGAGCUUGUAGAGACACACAUCAAACAAGUCCCAAACUGCUGACCUCUACUUCUACCUUUGCUGAACUCCCUAAAAUCCGAUACAGGAGCAGAGGUUUGGGGCCUGGGAGCCUGGGGCAGGAAAGAGCCAAGGGCAAAGAAGUA
rnacentral:lncRNA from 1 species